UGGGGACGAACGUUCGAAAGGAACGCUAAUACCGCAUACGUCCUACGGGNGAAAGCAGGGGACCUUCGGGCCUUGCGCUAUCAGAUGAGCCUAGGUCGGAUUAGCUAGUUGGUGAGGUAAUGGCUCACCAAGGCGACGAUCCGUAACUGGUCUGAGAGGAUGAUCAGUCACACUGGAACUGAGACACGGUCCAGACUCCUACGGGAGGCAGCAGGC
rnacentral:rRNA from 1 species